UAUCUCAUUUGGAGCUUCCUAAACGAGACAAAUUGUGCAGAUACUAUAUAUUUAUAUAUAUAGAAUCCGCACACUUUGUCUCGUUUAGGAAGCUCCAAAUGAGAAG